rnacentral:rRNA from 1 species
AACGAACGCUGGCGGCGCGUCUUAAGCAUGCAAGUCGAACGGCAAGGCAGGUGCUUGCACCUGCCCUAGAGUGGCGGACUGGUGAGUAACACGUGGGUGACAUGCCUUUAGUUGGGGAUAGCUACUAGAAAUAGUAGAUAAUACCGAAUGUGAUCAAUAUUUUAUAGAUGAUGUUGAGGAAAGGAGCUAAGGCUUCGCUAAAAGAUUGGCCCGCGGCCCAUUAGCUAGUUGGUAAGGGUAAAGGCUUACCAAGGCGAUGAUGGGUAUCCGGCCUGAGAGGGUGAUCGGACACAUUGGGACUGAGAUACGGCCCAGACUCCUACGGGAGGCAGCAGCUAAGAAUAUUCCACAAUGGACGAAGUCUGAUGGAGCGACGCCGCGUGGAUGAUAGAAGGCCGAAAGGUUGUAAAAUCCUUUUACACUGGAGGAAUAAGCAGAGUAGGGAAUGACUCUGUGAUGACUGUACAGUUUGAAUAAGCAACGGCUAAUUACGUGCCAGCCGCGGC